UACGGAGGGGACUAGCGUUGUUCGGAAUUACUGGGCGUAAAGCGCACGUAGGCGGAUCUGUAAGUCAGGGGUGAAAUCCCGGGGCUCAACCUCGGAACUGCCUUUGAUACUGUAAAUCUCGAGUCCGGAAGAGGUGAGUGGAAUUCCUAGUGUAGAGGUGAAAUUCGUAGAUAUUAGGAAGAACACCAGUGGCGAAGGCGGCUCACUGGUCCGGUACUGACGCUGAGGUGCGAAAGCGUGGGGAGCAAACAGG
rnacentral:rRNA from 1 species